UAGCAUUCCAUGUAGACUUUUGGCACUGCAUGGUCGAAACCAAAACAACACCAAUUGUCGUUCACACAUGGCGUGGGACGCCUUUUAGGGGCAAAAUAGAGACCGGUGAUGCCUCGUACCCGUGAGGUAUUCAAAUGACCGUGAGAACGAACGUCAUGCCAUCCAUCCAACAACCCAAGAACAUCGAAGAAAUCGGGGUCGGAUCAUGGCAUUUGCUUCGAAGUUCACCUCGUACCACUAGUAGCAACUUGAGGCGAAAGGGACGACGUUAAUCCAUACAAUUCCCAAAGUUUGGGUAUAGAACACAAGAAACCGAGUCGGGCCAAGAUUUUUUUCCUACUCUUGAACCAAUUGCCGCCUGAAAAGGCUCGAUGGACACAUUUUCGCUGCACAAGCAGGGACUAAACAUACCCAUACAAACCGACCACCACU
rnacentral:misc_RNA from 1 species